UACGGGGGGGGCAAGCGUUGUUCGGAAUUACUGGGCGUAAAGGGUUCGUAGGUGGCUUGCUAAGUCAGACGUGAAAUCCCUCAGCUUAACUGGGGAACUGCGUCUGAGACUGGCAAGCUUGAGUGCAGGAGAGGAACGCGGAAUUCCAGGUGUAGCGGUGAAAUGCGUAGAUAUCCGGAGGAACACCGGUGGCGAAGGCGGCUUCCUGGACCGACACUGACGCUGAGGCGCGAAAGCUAGGGGAGCAAACGGG
rnacentral:rRNA from 1 species